rnacentral:rRNA from 1 species
AUGAGCUUCGCCCCACAACCUAGCUCAUACCAAAAUAAUUACUCAUAUGGGUGGCCUGAAAACCAGAAUAUGUCAUAUAGGAGCAACAACCCUGAGAUCUCAUCGUUUGCCUCUAGUUAUCCAUUGCAGGGAUUUAGGUAUGAAGGGGAGAGCCACAACUAUGCACCACAACAGUUUUAUUCACCUCCUACUCAUAUACCACAGCACCAGCAGAUCUGUCCAAUGGAGUUAAAUGGUCCUCCAUUUGGUCAACCAACAACUCCAGCACCUGUUGUGCAAUCUCAUGUGCAAGUGCCCACACAAGAUGAGUUCGAUGACAUAGACAAGCUCACACUUUUGAGUCUCGAGUUCAGUUGGAGUGCCGAGGAUGAUCCUAUUAGGAAGGUUAUUCUAGAGGAAAUGAAGAAGAUCAAGAGUGGAAAAGAGCUAGUGGAAGAAGUAAGGAAGAUUGAGAAGAACAUCAACGCUGGCAGCACUAUUUCUUCACAGCUUGAGUUGAGUGUGGCUGAGAUAUCCAUGGAUACAUGUGAGGUUCCAACACCUUCAAAUUUAGUUGAGCAAGACACCGAGAGCCCAGAGGAAGAAAGACCUCAGAUUGAAGAAGAAAUUCUCGAAGCCAAGGAACAAGAUGAACCAGAGCUUGAAUGCCCAAGUGAUCAAGAUGAAGAUCCGCUACCAAUCACUCAUGAAGAAUUAUGUUCCUGA